rnacentral:rRNA from 1 species
UACGUAGGCAGCGAGCGUUGUUCGGAGUUACUGGGCGUAAAGCGUGCGUAGGCGGUGUCUUAAGUUUGGUGUGAAAUCUCCCGGCUCAACUGGGAGGGUGCGCCGAAUACUGAAAGACUAGAGUGCGGGAGAGGAAAGUGGAAUUCCUGGUGUAGCGGUGAAAUGCGUAGAUAUCAGGAGGAACACCGGUGGUGUAGACGGCUUUCUGGACCGUAACUGACG